AUCCACCUGCCCGUCACCACGGGAUAACCCGUUGAAAGGCGGCCUAAUACCGUAUGGCGUCGUUUGAUGGCAUCAGAUUACGACUAAAGGUUCAGCGGUGACGGAUGGGGAUGCGUCCGAUUAGCUUGUUGGCGGGGUAACGGCCCACCAAGGCUCCGAUCGGUAGGGGUUCUGAGAGGAAGGUCCCCCACAUUGGAACUGAGACACGGUCCAAACUCCUACGGGAGGCAGCAGUGAGGAAUAUUGGUCAAUGGGCGGGAGCCUGAACCAGCCAAGUAGCGUGCAGGAUGACGGCCCUAUGGGUUGUAAACUGCUUUUAUGCGGGGAUAACCGGCACUACGUGUAGUGCCUUGCAGGUACCGCAUGAAUAAGGACCGGCUAAUUCCGUGCCAGCAGCCGUGGUAAUACGGAAGGUCCUGGCGUUAUCCGGAUUUAUUGGGUUUAAAGGGAGCGUAAGCCGCAAGGUAAGCGUGCUGUGAAAUGUACCGGCUCAACCGGUGACGUGCAGCGCGA
rnacentral:rRNA from 1 species